AACGCGAAGAACCUUACCCAGACUUGACAUGCAGUAGACCGGUUCAGAAAUGGACCUUUCCUUCGGGACUGCUGCACAGGUGCUGCAUGGCUGUCGUCAGCUCGUGCCGUGAGGUGUUGGGUUAAGUCCCGCAACGAGCGCAACCCUUAUCAUUAGUUGCCAACAUUUCGGAUGGGAACUCUAAUGAGACUGCCUGGGUUAACCAGGAGGAAGGUGAGGAUGACGUCAAGUCCGCAUGGCCCUUAUGUCUGGGGCUACACACGUGCUACAAUGGUCGGUACAGAAGGCAGCGAAACCGCGAGGCGGAGCAAAUCCCUAAAACGGCCCCAGUUCAGAUUGUAGUCUGCAACUCGACUACAUGAAGACGGAAUUGCUAGUAAUGGCGAGUCAGCAACAUCGCCGUGAAUACGUUCCCGGGCCUUGUACACACCGCUACAGU
rnacentral:rRNA from 1 species